GCCCUUGUGGCAUAGUGGUUGAAGCAUUUGGCUGCUAACCAAAAAGUCAGCAGUUUGAAUCUACCAGCUGCU
rnacentral:tRNA from 1 species